AGAGUUUGAUCAUGGCUCAGAUUGAACGCUGGCGGCAGGCCUAACACAUGCAAGUCGAGCGGCAGCGGAAAGUAGCUUGCUACUUUGCCGGCGAGCGGCGGACGGGUGAGUAAUGUAUGGGGAUCUGCCUGAUGGAGGGGGAUAACUACUGGAAACGGUAGCUAAUACCGCAUAAUGUCUUCGGACCAAAGCGGGGGACCUCCGGGCCUCGCGCCAUCAGAUGAACCCAUAUGGGAUUAGCUAGUAGGUAAGGUAACGGCUUACCUAGGCGACGAUCCCUAGCUGGUCUGAGAGGAUGAUCAGCCACACUGGGACUGAGACACGGCCCAGACUCCUACGGGAGGCAGCAGUGGGGAAUAUUGCACAAUGGGCGCAAGCCUGAUGCAGCCAUGCCGCGUGUAUGAAGAAGGCCUUCGGGUUGUAAAGUACUUUCAGCGGGGAGGAAGGUGUUGAGGUUAAUAACCUCAGCAAUUGACGUUACCCGCAGAAGAAGCACCGGCUAACUCCGUGCCAGCAGCCGCGGUAAUAC
rnacentral:rRNA from 1 species